rnacentral:lncRNA from 1 species
GAACUUGGGUCGACAGGCGAGAAAGUAAUGAUUGGUUGACAAAGGAAUUGCCGAUGGACUAUUAUGCCGAUGAUAAAGGAGCAGGAUGCACUACACCACAACCUUUAAUCAGCGACUGAGUUGAAGUUGUUGCAAGAGGUGUACAACAAUAGACAGUCUGUUGCUAAAAGUUAUAGCAACGGACCCUAGCAGAUGCUGUUGAAGCCGUCGUUGUAGGUAUACAGCGACGGACUUCAUCUUUAGCGACUAACCAUCCAUCGCCCC